rnacentral:rRNA from 1 species
ACAAGACCCUAUUAAACUUUACUAUUAGUUUAGCUGGGGCAGCUCAUUAAUUAUAAUUUUAUUUUUUUUUUUAUUUUUAACAAAAUUUCCAAUAUAAUUGAUUAAAUAAACAAGUUACUAUAGGGAUAACAGCGUAAUAUUAUUUUAAAGUUCAUAUUAUAAAUAAUGUUUGCGACCUCGAUGUUGAAUUAUUAUUCUAUUUAAUGCAGCAGUUAAAAAAGUAGGUCUGUUCGACCUUUAAUAUAUUACAUGAUUUGAGUUCAAACCGGUAUAAGCCAGGUUGGUUUCUAUCUUUUUUAAUAAUUUUCCAGUACGAAAGGACAAAAAAAUAUAUUAUAAAUUAUAUAUUAGCAAAUAAAUGCAAUAGAUUUAGAAUCUAAAAUUACUAAAAUU